UGCCACCAUUAAAUUUAUAUUAACAUGUAAAAAUGUUUGGAGUUUAGGGCUCUUACCCAUAUCUUAGUGACAUAGAAAGAAAAGAUAAAUCACACACGCAACCAGAAAAUAGACAUGUUGACUUUAUUUUAGUACAUAAUCUGGUAGGAUUUUUACAUAAUCUCACGUACUGGUGCUAGGUAGUUGGUUGUGCCAACUAGAAGUGUCACAUAGUUAAUAUCCUUAAAGAGAAAUGGAAGCUAAUCAGGUAAGUAAACUGUGAGCUGAGGCCUACGUCAUGCUUGCUAUUCAAAGAGAGUAAAGUAAUUGGAUAAAUGUUAAUGCCUCCUUGUUGGGAAAACAGUCUUCAAAAAUGGCACCAAGUUACAGUUCUAAUGCAAUGGAGUCACUAAUUACUAUGAAUACUUUUUUUACUUGGCGGAUUACUAAUAAAGGCAACUGGAUACAAUAAAUGUAAAGAUUUUCUUUUAAAACGACAGACUCUUCAGUGAGGCAUAAACAUUUUAUAGAACAAUUAUCAAAGCUAUAUUGGACUUAAAUAUUGGUCAUGAAUGUAUGCACACCCCAUAGGUAGCUGCCCUCCUUGGGCAGCUUUUGACUCCUAUGCCAAAAUUUAAAAUAAAGCCCGGGGCCGGGCGCGGUGGCUCAAGCCUGUAAUCCCAGCACUUUGGGAGGCCGAGGCGGGCGGAUCACGAGGUCAGGAGAUCGAGACCAUCCUGGCUGACACAGUGAAACCCCGUCUCUACUAAAAA